AGUUAAACAAAAAAAAAAGCCUAGGACAGAACAGAAUCCUCUCCACCUUCUCUUCUAAAGAAUUCCUUUUUUUUUUUUUCUCUUUCUCCACUU
rnacentral:ribozyme from 1 species